AAGAGACAGCAGCCGCCGCGGUAAUACGUAGGGUGCAAGCGUUAAUCGGAAUUACUGGGCGUAAAGCGUGCGCAGGCGGUUAUAUAAGACAGAUGUGAAAUCCCCGGGCUCAACCUGGGAACUGCAUUUGUGACUGUAUAGCUAGAGUACGGCAGAGGGGGAUGGAAUUCCGCGUGUAGCAGUGAAAUGCGUAGAUAUGCGGAGGAACACCGAUGGCGAAGGCAAUCCCCUGGGCCUGUACUGACGCUCAUGCACGAAAGCGUGGGGAGCAAACAGGAUUAGAUACCCGGGUAGUCCCUGUCUCUUAUAC
rnacentral:rRNA from 1 species